UACGUAGGGGGCAAGCGUUAUCCGGAAUACUGGGCGUAAAGCGCACGCAGGCGGUUCGCCAAGUUUGGAGUGACAGUUGUCGGCUCAACCGACAAAGGACUUCAAAAACUGGUGAACUUGAGGACGAGAGAGGAACAUGGAACUCCAGGUGGAGUAGUGAAAUGCGUAGAUAUCUGGAAGAACACCAAUGGCGAAGGCAAUGUUCUGGCUCGUUUCUGACGCUCAGGUGCGAAAGCGUGGGGAGCAAACAGGAUUGAGAAACC
rnacentral:rRNA from 1 species